AUAAUACUAAGAUCUGAUUUAUCACAAAGAUUACAAAUAAAGGCGCAAAAAAAAAUGAUAUAAUGAUAAUAAAUAAAAAGGCAAAACUUGCUUCAAAUACCCAAAACAUGAUCACAUUCAAAAAAUCUAAAAAAAUAAAGAUAAAAAUGGAUAGCAGGUACUAAAUUUGAAGGAGAUGUGCAGUAUUUUUUUUUUUUUUUAAAUCAAUACAUUUUGAUGUCCUGGACAAUUGGCAAAGUUAAUACUGCCUGUGUAAAUCACUUAAAAGCUAACUUUUAAGCAAAAUAAAUUUCAUUUCUUUAGAAAAGCCACCAUCUGGCCUCAUAAUAAAGGGCCUAAAACUAACAAAUGUGGCUAAAUUAUUAGUUGUUUUCAGUCUACUUCCCAUACUCACAAAGAAGGGAACCAAACCAUACUUUUCAUUCUCCAAGUCACCUUGUAUAGACAUUUCUCAAUAUAACUAAUUAUCAGUUGACAACUCAUGAGGGGGCAGAAUUCCCUAUGGAGACCAAGAAGAAUAUAGGAAACCACCAGUAUUGUAAGAAUACAUUUUUUUGAAAAGUGAGGAUAUAAAGAGGAAUUAAAGAUAUUGCCAGCCAGCGUACAAAAUUGCUCAAAGAGAAAGUACUUCCAUAUUGAUUUAUGUAUUUAUGGCAUGGUGACCAAAAAUACCAUGUGAAGCUUUUGGAGAUGAACUACUAAAUCUCCCAAUCCCAUUCCACCCACCUCAUGCCUCCAAAACAAAUAAAAAAAAAAAACCACAUCUGGGGUGGGGGGGCAAGGAGAAUCCCCCUACUUCCACUUAAUGACAAUAAUGGGAAUAGUAAAAGGAGGUAGCAUGUUAAAGAGAAAGGGAAAAAAAUUACUUGGAGGAGGAAGUACUUCCACUGAAAUGGAGCCUUCUACCAUCAUCCAAAUCAUAACAUAAUUAAUUAUAUAAUUAUAACACAAUUCUUUUUCAGAUGAUUUUAUUUCCCAAUGAGAAAAUUAAUGAUUAAAAAAAGCAACACCAAUUCUUACAAGGCUCUAGAUUUUGCUAAUCUGAAGUGGAAGUGGCUAUUGGAAGUAUUAUAGAUUAUUAAGACAAACUUAACCAAUGGGGUCAUGUAGUGUCUGGAACAAAGAACGGUGAAGAGGAGAAAGGGUAUGUUGGAAGACAAGGAGGAGGAAAGUGAAAACACAUAUUAAGCUUUAUAUUUAUUCUCCUUAACCUAAUAUUUCAACUCAUAUUUAUUAUCAUCUAGAGCUACAAAAAGGAAAAAUCCAAAGCAAACAAACUCUAAAUAAAUAAUAUAGUAUUUUAAAAUUAAGUUUGGUCAAUAAAGGCUCAAUAAAUAUAUCCACUGAGUGGGGAAAAUUCUCAGAAAGAAAAAGACAAAUACAAAAACAAAACAAAACCCUUAUCAAGAAAACCCUUCAUUAUAAAAAUCAGGCCAAUUUCAU
rnacentral:lncRNA from 1 species